rnacentral:rRNA from 1 species
GCAACCCUACGGGACGCAGCAGUGGGGAAUAUUGCACAAUGGGGGAAACCCUGAUGCAGCGACGCCGCGUGAGUGAAGAAGUAUUUCGGUAUGUAAAGCUCUAUCAGCAGGAACGAGACAAGACGGUACCUGACUAAGAAGCCCCGGCUAACUACGUGCCAGCAGCCGCGGUAAUACGUAGGGGGCAAGCGUUAUCCGGAAUCACUGGGUGUAAAGGGAGCGUAGACGGCUGAGCAAGCCUGAAGUGAAAGGCGGGGGCCCAACCCCCGGACCGCUUUGGGAACUGUACG